rnacentral:rRNA from 1 species
GACGUAGGGCGCGAGCGUUGUCCGGAUUUAUUGGGCGUAAAGAGCUCGUAGGCGGCUUGUCGCGUCGUCCGUGAAAACCCACAGCUCAACUGUGGGCUUGCGGUCGAUACGGGCAGGCUAGAGUUCGGUAGGGGAGACUGGAAUUCCUGGUGUAGCGGUGAAAUGCGUAGAUAUCUGGAGGAACACCGGUGGCGAAGGCGACGUCCUGGACCGGCAUUGACGCUGAGGCGCGAAAGCCAGGGGAGCAAAGCGGG